CAUAGGUUAAUGAGGCGAACCGGGGGAACUGAAACAUCUAAGUACCCCGAGGAAAAGAAAUCAACCGAGAUUCCCCCAGUAGCGGCGAGCGAACGGGGAGCAGCCCAGAGCCUGAAUCAGUGUGUGUGUUAGUGGAAGCGUCUGGAAAGGCGCGCGAUACAGGGUGACAGCCCCGUACACAAAAAUGCACAUGCUGUGAGCUCGAUGAGUAGGGCGGGACACGUGGUAUCCUGUCUGAAUAUGGGGGGACCAUCCUCCAAGGCUAAAUACUCCUGACUGACCGAUAGUGAACCAGUACCGUGAGGGAAAGGCGAAAAGAACCCCGGCGAGGGGAGUGAAAAAGAACCUGAAACCGUGUACGUACAAGCAGUGGGAGCACGCUUAGGCGUGUGACUGCGUACCUUUUGUAUAAUGGGUCAGCGACUUAUAUUCUGUAGCAAGGUUAACCGAAUAGGGGAGCCGAAGGGAAACCGAGUCUUAACUGGGCGUUAAGUUGCAGGGUAUAGACCCGAAACCCGGUGAUCUAGCCAUGGGCAGGUUGAAGGUUGGGUAACACUAACUGGAGGACCGAACCGACUAAUGUUGAAAAAUUAGCGGAUGACUUGUGGCUGGGGGUGAAAGGCCAAUCAAACCGGGAGAUAGCUGGUUCUCCCCGAAAGCUAUUUAGGUAGCGCCUCGUGAAUUCAUCUCCGGGGGUAGAGCACUGUUUCGGCAAGGGGGUCAUCCCGACUUACCAACCCGAUGCAAACUGCGAAUACCGGAGAAUGUUAUCACGGGAGACACACGGCGGGUGCUAACGUCCGUCGUGAAGAGGGAAACAACCCAGACCGCCAGCUAAGGUCCCAAAGUCAUGGUUAAGUGGGAAACGAUGUGGGAAGGCCCAGACAGCCAGGAUGUUGGCUUAGAAGCAGCCAUCAUUUAAAGAAAGCGUAAUAGCUCACUGGUCGAGUCGGCCUGCGCGGAAGAUGUAACGGGGCUAAACCAUGCACCGAAGCUGC
rnacentral:rRNA from 1 species